UACGGAGGAUGCGAGCGUUAUCCGGAUUUAUUGGGUUUAAAGGGUGCGCAGGCGGCACGGCAAGCCGGCGGUCAAAUCGCGGGGCUCAACCCCGCCCAGCCGUCGGAACUGCCGGGCUAGAGUGGGCGAGAAGUGCGCGGAAUGCGUGGUGUAGCGGUGAAAUGCAUAGAUAUCACGCAGAACUCCGAUUGCGAAGGCAGCGCACCGGCGCCCUACUGACGCUCUGGCACGAAAGCGUGGGUAUCGAACAGG
rnacentral:rRNA from 1 species